AAAGGCGUCCUGAAAGUGAAGGCUCGCCUAGCGCGAGCCGAGGGAGGAUGGGUGUCCCCGCGGGGACGCCUCGCACUCCCAGGGCGUCUCGUUCUCAUUGCGAGAAGAGGCGCACCAAGAGCGUACACGCUGGGACCCGAAAGAUGGUGAACUAUGCCUGGUCAGGACGAAGUCAGGGGAAACCCUGAUGGAGGUCCGUAGCGAUUCUGACGUGCAAAUCGAUCGUCGGAACUGGGUAUAGGGGCGAAAGACUAAUCGAACCAUCUAGUAGCUGGUUCCCUCCGAAGUUUCCCUCAGGAUAGCUGGCGCUCGCUUCUCGCGAGUCUCAUUCGGUAAAGCGAAUGAUUAGAGGCAUUGGGGUCGAAACGGCCUCAACCUAUUCUCAAACUUUAAAUGGGUGAGAUCUCCGGCUUGCUUGAACUGUGAAGCCGCGAGAUAUCGGAUCAGAGUGCCAAGUGGGCCACUUUUGGUAAGCAGAACUGGCGCUGUGGGAUGAACCAAACGCUGAGUUAAAGCGCCUAAAUCGACGCUUAUGGGA
rnacentral:rRNA from 1 species